CAGUAGCCGCGGUAAUACGUAGGUGGCAAGCGUUGUCCGGAAUUAUUGGGCGUAAAGGGCUCGCAGGCGGUUUCUUAAGUCUGAUGUGAAAGCCCCCGGCUCAACCGGGGAGGGUCAUUGGAAACUGGGAAACUUGAGUGCAGAAGAGGAGAGUGGAAUUCCACGUGUAGCGGUGAAAUGCGUAGAGAUGUGGAGGAACACCAGUGGCGAAGGCGACUCUCUGGUCUGUGACUGACGCUGAGGAGCGAAAGCGUGGGGAGCGAACAGGAUUAGAUACCCGCGUAGUCCCUGUCUCUUAUAC
rnacentral:rRNA from 1 species